rnacentral:rRNA from 1 species
AACGAACGCUGGCGGCAGGCUUAACACAUGCAAGUCGAGCGCCCCGCAAGGGGAGCGGCAGACGGGUGAGUAACGCGUGGGAAUCUACCCACCUCUACGGAAUAACUCAUGGAAACGUGUGCUAAUACCGUAUACGUCCUUCGGGAGAAAGAUUUAUCGGCGAUGGAUGAGCCCGAGUUGGAUUAGCUAGUUGGUGGGGUAAAGGCCUACCAAGGCGACGAUCCAUAGUUGGUCUGAGAGGAUGAUCAGCCACACUGGGACUGAGACACGGCCCAGACUCCUACGGGAGGCAGCAGUGGGGAAUAUUGGACAAUGGGCGCAAGCCUGAUCCAGCCAUGCCGCGUGAGUGAUGAAGGCCCUAGGGUUGUAAAGCUCUUUCACCGGUGAAGAUAAUGACGGUAACCGGAGAAGAAGCCCCGGCUAACUUCGUGCCAGCCGCCGCAGUAACAC